rnacentral:snoRNA from 1 species
AAGACUAUACUUUCAGGGACCAUUUCUACAGUUCAUCACUAGAGAAGUUUCUCUGACCAUGUAGAAUACAGGAAACCACGAGGAUGAGGUGCAGUGUUCUCUCCUGAGCGUGAAGCCUGCUCUUGUUGUUGCUUUGCUGCAACUGCUACUUGCCAUUGAUGAUCAUUCCUGCCCUCCUUGGAGAAGCUGGAGGGAGAGGACGCAGUCUGAGUGU